rnacentral:rRNA from 1 species
GCAGGUUGAAGGUUGAGUAACAUCAACUGGAGGACCGAACCCACUAACGUUGAAAAGUUAGGGGAUGACCUGUGGCUAGGAGUGAAAGGCUAAUCAAACCGGGAGAUAGCUGGUUCUCCCCGAAAUCUAUUUAGGUAGAGCCUCGGACGAAUACUUACGGGGGUAGAGCACUGUUAAGGCUAGGGGGUCAUCCCGACUUACCAACCCUUUGCAAACUCCGAAUACCGUAAAGUAAUAUCCGGGAGACACACGGCGGGUGCUAACGUCCGUCGUGAAGAGGGAAACAACCCAGACCGCCAGCUAAGGUCCCAAAGUCAUAGUUAAGUGGGAAACGAUGUGGAAAGGCCCAGACAGCCAGGAGGUUGGCUUAGAAGCAGCCAUCCUUUAAAGAAAGCGUAAUAGCUCACUGGUCGAGUCGGUCUGCGCGGAAGAUGUAACGGGGCUAAACUAUGCACCGAAGCUGCGGAUUCAGAAUUUAUUCUGAGUGGUAGGGGAGCGUUCUGUAAGCGGUUGAAGGUGUACCGGGAGGUAUGCUGGACGUAUCAGAAGUGCGAAUGCUGACAUGAGUAACGAUAAUGGGAGUGAAAAACUCCCACGCCGGAAGACCAAGGGUUCCUAUCCCAUGUUAAUCAGGGUAGGGUAAGUCGACCCCUAAGGCGAGGCCGAAAGGCGUAGUCGAUGGGAAACAGAUUAAUAUUUCUGUACUCGAUAUAAUUGCGAUGGGGGGACGGAGCAGGCUAAACAAGCAUAGCGUUGGUAGUCUAUGUGAAAGUGAGUAGGUUGGCGACUUAGGUAAAUCCGGGUUGCUAUUAAGACUGAGACACGAGACGAGUCACUACGGUGAUGAAGUUGUUGAUGCCAUACUUCCAGGAAAAGCCUCUAAGCUUCAGAUUAUAUGGAAUCGUACCCCAAACCGACACAGGUGGUCAGGUAGAGAAUACUAAGGCGCUUGAGAGAACUCGGGUGAAGGAACUAGGCAAAAUGGUACCGUAACUUCGGGAGAAGGUACGCUCCUAUCGGUGAUGAGACUUGCUCUCUAAGCUGCCGGGAGUCGCAGAUACCAGGUGGCUGCGACUGUUUAUUAAAAACACAGCACUGUGCAAAAUCGCAAGAUGACGUAUACGGUGUGACACCUGCCCGGUGCCGGAAGGUUAAUUGAUGGGGUUAUCCUUAGGGAGAAGCUCUUGAUCGAAGCCCCGGUAAACGGCGGCCGUAACUAUAACGGUCCUAAGGUAGCGAAAUUCCUUGUCGGGUAAGUUCCGACCUGCACGAAUGGUGUAACCAUGGCCACGCUGUCUCCACCCGAGACUCAGUGAAAUUGAAAUCGCAGUGAAGAUGCUGUGUACCCGCGGCUAGACGGAAAGACCCCGUGAACCUUUACUACAGCUUGGCACUGAACAUUGAACCUACAUGUGUAGGAUAGGUGGGAGACUUUGAAGCAGCGACGCUAGUUGUUGUGGAGUCAACCUUGAAAUACCACCCUUGUAGUUUUGAUGUUCUAACGUUGGCCCCUGAAUCGGGGUUACGGACAGUGCCUGGUGGGUAGUUUGACUGGGGCGGUCUCCUCCUAAAGAGUAACGGAGGAGCACGAAGGUUGGCUAAGUACGGUCGGACAUCGUACGGUUAGUGCAAUGGCAUAAGCCAGCUUAACUGCGAGACAGACACGUCGAGCAGGUACGAAAGUAGGUCAUAGUGAUCCGGUGGUUCUGAAUGGAAGGGCCAUCGCUCAACGGAUAAAAGGUACUCCGGGGAUAACAGGCUGAUACCGCCCAAGAGUUCAUAUCGACGGCGGUGUUUGGCACCUCGAUGUCGGCUCAUCACAUCCUGGGGCUGAAGCCGGUCCCAAGGGUAUGGCUGUUCGCCAUUUAAAGUGGUACGCGAGCUGGGUUUAGAACGUCGUGAGACAGUUCGGUCCCUAUCUGCCGUGGGCGUUUGAGAAUUGAGAGGAGCUGCUCCUAGUACGAGAGGACCGGAGUGGACGAACCGCUGGUGUUCGGGUUGUUAUGCCAAUAGCAUUGCCCGGUAGCUACGUUCGGAAUCGAUAACCGCUGAAAGCAUCUAAGCGGG